ACAUAGGUUAACGAGGCGAACCGGGGGAACUGAAACAUCUAAGUACCCCGAGGAAAAGAAAUCAACCGAGAUUCCCCCAGUAGCGGCGAGCGAACGGGGAGCAGCCCAGAGUCUGAAUCAGCUUGUGUGUUAGUGGAACGGUCUGGAAAGUCCGACGGUACAGGGUGAUAGUCCCGUACACGAAAAUGCACAGGCUGUGAACUCGAAGAGUAGGGCGGGACACGUGGUAUCCUGUCUGAAUAUGGGGGGACCAUCCUCCAAGGCUAAAUACUCCUGACUGACCGAUAGUGAACCAGUACCGUGAGGGAAAGGCGAAAAGAACCCCGGCGAGGGGAGUGAAAAAGAACCUGAAACCGUGUACGUACAAGCAGUGGGAGCACCUUCGUGGUGUGACUGCGUACCUUUUGUAUAAUGGGUCAGCGACUUAUAUUCUGUAGCAAGGUUAACCGUAUAGGGGAGCCGAAGGGAAACCGAGUCUUAACUGGGCGUUAAGUUGCAGGGUAUAGACCCGAAACCCGGUGAUCUAGCCAUGGGCAGGUUGAAGGUUGGGUAACACUAACUGGAGGACCGAACCGACUAAUGUUGAAAAAUUAGCGGAUGACUUGUGGCUGGGGGUGAAAGGCCAAUCAAACCGGGAGAUAGCUGGUUCUCCCCGAAAGCUAUUUAGGUAGCGCCUCGUGAACUCAUCUUCGGGGGUAGAGCACUGUUUCGGCUAGGGGGCCAUCCCGGCUUACCAACCCGAUGCAAACUACGAAUACCGAAGAAUGUUAUCACGGGAGACACACGGCGGGUGCUAACGUCCGUCGUGAAGAGGGAAACAACCCAGACCGCCAGCUAAGGUCCCAAAGUCAUGGUUAAGUGGGAAACGAUGUGGGAAGGCACAGACAGCCAGGAUGUUGGCUUAGAAGCAGCCAUCAUUUAAAGAAAGCGUAAUAGCUCACUGGUCGAGUCGGCCUGCGCGGAAGAUGUAACGGGGCUAAACCAUGCACCGAAGCUGCGGCAGCGACACUAUGUGUUGUUGGGUAGGGGAGCGUUCUGUAAGCCGUUGAAGGUGUCCUGUGAGGGGUGCUGGAGGUAUCAGAAGUGCGAAUGCUGACAUAAGUAACGAUAAUGCGGGUGAAAAGCCCGCACGCCGGAAGACCAAGGGUUCCUGUCCAACGUUAAUCGGGGCAGGGUGAGUCGACCCCUAAGGCGAGGCCGAAAGGCGUAGUCGAUGGGAAACAGGUUAAUAUUCCUGUACUUGGUGUUACUGCGAAGGGGGGACGGAGAAGGCUAUGUUAGCCGGGCGACGGUUGUC
rnacentral:rRNA from 1 species